rnacentral:rRNA from 1 species
CCUACGGGUGGCAGCAGUGGGGAAUAUUGGACAAUGGGCGCAAGCCUGAUCCAGCCACGCCGCGUGAGUGAUGAAGGCCUUCGGGUCGUAAAGCUCUGUGGGGAGGGACGAACCGCCACCGGUUAAUACCCGGUGGCAUGACGGUACCUCCUUAGCAAGCACCGGCUAACUUCGUGCCAGCAGCCGCGGUAAUACGAAGGGUGCAAACGUUGCUCGGAAGCGUUGGGAGUAGAGCGCGCAAGUCGGACUUGAAAUCCCUCGGCUCAACCAAGGAAGUGCUUUCGAAACUGCUGAGCUUGAGUACUUAAGAGGAUCGCGGAAUUCCCGGUGUAGAGGUGAAAUUCGUAGAUAUCGGGAGGAACACCAGUGGCGAAGGCGGCGAUCUGGGAAGAUACUGACGCUGAGGUGCGAAAGCGUGGGGAGCAAACAGGAUUAGAUACCCCAGUAGUC